AGAAUCUGGAACAAAGAACAAACCACUGGAGGAGCUCCUCAGGUCAAGCGACACUGUCGAAGUUUCAGAUACGGUCAGCCCUUAUGAAUGUUUCCAGAAUUUUUGUCCACAUUUCCUGUUUCUAGCAUCUACAAUUUUUUUCCAAUUUCAAAAACAUUUUACACCAUGUAAUGAAGAAAGAUGCUGAUGUGAGAUUUCAUACCAAUGAACUACAAAUACUCUUGGAAAGUCUCCACGUGCACAGAUUCCUAGAGUGGCACAGUAAUGUAGAAGUUGGCAGCGAUCUCAAGCAGUAUGUACGUUAUCCCAGUGACCAUGUGGAGUUCCUCCAGAUGCUCUGAUUUCCUUCCAUCUUCUAAAGACGUAUAGGUCAGAGUCAGUAAGUUAUGGGCCUGCUAUGUUCAUGGCAGAAGCACGGCCACACUUGCAGGCUGCCCCCUGCACACCCUCAGACUGCAUUGGGCAUUGAUGCAAACAAUACAUUUUACUGUGCGUUUCGA